rnacentral:pre_miRNA from 1 species
AGUGGAAUAACUGGGUCAAAUGGUGGGACCAUUCCAAGUUUUCUGAGGAAUCUCUCUACUGCUUUCCAGAGUGGCUGCACCAAUUUGCAGUCCCAUUAGCAAU